GAUGAACGCUGGCGGCGUGCCUAAUACAUGCAAGUCGAGCGAACAGACGAUGCUUUUGCUCCUCUGCCGUUAGCGGCGGACGGGUGAGUCACACGUGUAUACCCUACCUUUCUGUCUGGGAUCACUUCGGGACACCGGAUCUAAUACCGGAUCAUAUAUUGAACCGCAUGGUUCAAUAGUGAAAGACGGUUUUGCUGUCCCUUAUAGAUGGUUCCGGGCCGGAUUAGCUAGUUGGUACGGUAACGGCUUACCAAGGCUACGAUGCGUAGCCGACCUGAGAGGGUGAUCGGCCACACUGGAACUGAGACACGGACCAGACUACUACGGGAGGCAGCAGUAGGGAAUAUUGCGCAAUGGGCGAAAGCCUGACGGAGCAACGCCGCGUGAGUGAUGAAGGUCUUCGGAUCGUAAAACACUGUUAGUAGGGAAGAACAAAAGUGUAAUAAAAUAUGGACGUCUUGACGGUACCAAAUCAGAAAGCAACGGCUAACUACGUG
rnacentral:rRNA from 1 species